rnacentral:rRNA from 1 species
AGACCAGAACGUUGAUAGGUCGGGUGUGGAAGCGCAGUAAUGCGUUGAGCUAACCGAUACUAAUUGCCCGUGCGGCUUGAUCCUAUAACUCUGUAGGUUUUAU